rfam:Schistosoma haematobium scaffold279_31, whole genome shotgun sequence.
GUCCAACUGACGAGUCCCAAAUAGGACGAAACGCGCGUCCUGGAU